AGGGUCCUGGGUUCAAUCCCCAAUACUGCUUCUAAAAAUAAAUAAAUAAACAAAUAAACCUAAUUACCUCCCCCCUCUAAAAAAAAAAACCUAUAAAAUAAAAAAAAAAUCUGCAAUGCAACAAUUUAUUAGAUUUAUCAGCAGGUCCUUCAUAUAUAAAUAAAUAUAUUUUUAUCAUAUAUAAUAAACGCUAUAUGGUGGACAGAGAAUUUCUAAAGGUUUUUUAAAUUAAAUAUUUAGAUUAAAAAAAAUUUUUCUUGUUCCUUUGGUCACCUUAUCUACCAGAUAAAUCUGACAUCUUAAACUUCUACAUAAGUCAAUAGAUAUCAAUAAUUUUUUCAUUUCUAUUUUUUCUAUUAACUAUGGCUUAAAAGCUGUGUCAGGAAUCUGCUGUUUACUUUUUUGUCUGCGUAUACAGAAGCUUUUGAUGGUGAUCAUGAUGGUGGUGAUAGAUGUUACUGAAGGAACAAGGGUGUUUCCACCAAGCCCCUCCUGACCCUUAUGCUAGGUAGGUUGGGCAAAGGUCCCUUCUCUGUGCCCCCGUAAUGGUCUACGCGUAGCUGUCAAUGCAGUUCUUGCCAUUUUAUAAUUAUAUGCUUUGAGAUCUGUCUCCCCUACUACCAAGCUCCGUGGGGGCAAAAAUGUUUCUUACUUAUGUUUGUAUUUCCAGUACCUGGCAGAGUGCUUAGCCCACAGCAUGUUGUAGAUACUGUGUAAUGUUUAUUAAGGAAUUGAGAGAAAUAACAUCGAUGGAUUGCUGUCUUGAACAAAGCCUGUACCUCUGUGAACCAAGAUGGUCAGCCAAAACAUACUGCUCUUAACUAUCUCUUGUUAUUAGUAGGUAUUUAUUUAAUAGAGAAUGUCUUCUUUCUCAAUUUACCCAGAAAGUUUAACAUCCUAAAUGUACUCAGAUACAGAUAGUUUUGUUCAGCAGAGGCAAAUACUGAUAAGCCUUAACAUAAGGAUACUUUGUCCUGGUUAUUCUAAUGACUUCAAGCAAGUUUGUUACCCGUUCUCCAUAUGUGUGACUCACCAGUUUCUAUGAGAGUAACUGACAUGCUAGUUAUCACCAUUUUUUUUAAUCUCUUUUUAGAGAAACUCAUUAAUGGAAGGAAGCAGGGACACAUUAUUCAUAAUGCGAAAUUACCCAUUCAGUUUGGUUCUGAGCUGCGUGUUAACAUUUUCGAAAGGUCCGAUGUGAAACUUUGUUUUGCAUCAUUCCUUAACAUGACACGUGAUCUUUACUAUUAGUGAUUUUUGGCAUUCCAAGUAAAAUAAAAUGCUCAUGCUCUGAAACUGUGACUUGAGUUGCUAGUAAGCUAGUUGCCCAAUUCAGUUCCCAUUCAAUUUUCUCAGUUAACUUUUCUUAGAAACUUAUGUUCCUCCCUCAGUGUAAUAUCACACAUUUAAUUACUUUUACACUCUAAACUAGAUGUUUAGCUAACUCACAUUCUCCUUGAGAGAGAAGUAGCAACUUUUUCGAUAGGCUUUCCUAUUACUCUAGCCUGAAGAUGGAAAAGGAAACCUCACUGUCCCUUUUUGUUCUCCAAUAGAUUUAUGCAAAUAUUUAUUGAACAUCUAUUACUUACAAGUCAUUGUUCUUAAUGCUGUGGACUACGAAUUGAAUAAAAUGUGAUUUUUUUUCCUACUGUGUUGGAAUAGAUGAGCAUAUUCAUACAGCAAUGACAAAGCUUAAAGAGCGAGGCAGGACUUUUCGAAUGAGAAGGCAUUUGAGCUGGAACUUAGAAGGACUGUUGAAAGGAUCUGGUCUCUGACCGGUGCCCUUGGGUAGCAUUUGAAGUGCGACUGCCCUCGCUGAUAAACUCUCACUUGGGCUGCGUUCUGCCUUUCUGUUUCAGUAAAGUGUUACUGACUUGGUCAUCCUCAGAGUGACUUUACAUGUAUCUACUCUGAUCCAUUCAUAUGCUGAUUUUAUUAAUUAGAAUAUGCUGCCCUUUCUAAAAAUCUAUUACUCCUUUGUGCUGCCAACUGGGGUGGAAGAGAAUUUAGAAUGGGGGGAGCUAAGUUUCCGAGGAAGGUAACAGCAUGAGCUAAAGUACGAAGUUUUAAAAUUAUGAGGUUUAUAUGAAAAACAAAGCAGUUCAGAUUUAUAUGAAAAACAAAGGGAGAGGAAAGGUGGAUAGUAGGAGGAGGUGAAAUAGGAAGAGACAGCAAGGGCCUAAAGGGGUUAAACCGUAUAUUGUGGAGGUUCUGUACUAACUAGGCUAAGAAGUAAUGCAGGCUUCAUUAACGCCAUGAACACGGAAGGGCUGUUGAGGAUUUUUAAAUAGAAUGACCUAUUCAGAGUUCUGCUUUAGAAAGGUUAUAUUGGAUUUAGGGGAUCCCAGAGCCGUGGCGAUCACCUUGACAGGUAUUCCGGAAACCCAGGUGAAUGUCAUCAGGACCAAUAUGGAAUAACACCAGCAGAACCCAGUUGGAUGGUGGGGGAGUGGAGGAAAGAGGUGCCAGAUGGGAGAAAGUUUGCAGAGAGAAAACGUCAAACCCUGGCAUUCUUUUCCGGAAGCAUAAGAAUAGAUGAAAGGUGAAAAUGUGUCAGGAAAAGAUUUGAAAAUCUAGUGUGGGACCUGGAUACCUUUUUGCUGUGUAUAGAGCAUCUUUGAUACUUAAACAUGACCUGAUCUCUUUUAGUUGCCAAUUUGUUUGAUACCAACUAUGUGAUCAUUUUUGUUCACUUCUUAUUUGCCUUUAUAAUCUUAUUUGUUAGAUUUUACUAUCAUUGUGUCCGUUUUUUUCAUCCCUCAUCCAUUGUUUUGGGCCCCUUUUAUUUUGCAAUUUUAGUCUAAUUUGAUUUUUCCCCUCUCCAUGAACCCUCAUGUGUCCUAAGACCGGGCUUCUUAAGCAGAGAACACACUCAACCUGUCACGAAGAAGAACACGGUGUUAGGUUACAGAGAUGUCUGGUGGUGAUUCAUGGUACAGAAAGCUUAGCUGGGCAGCAGAGGAACUAGAAAGCUAAAAUAGUGUCUUUUUCUUGAAGGAGCAGCCUUGUCCUUUCUGAUGGCUCCUCUGUUUCUUGCUACGCAUCUCUUCAUCCCUCUUCUCUCUCUCCUGACUGGCUUCCUCUGUCUGCUAUUCCUUGUAUAAUGGCUUAAUCCAGUUCGCUGUUUUUACAUACUUUUUCAGUUCAGUUCCUCACAACUGACUGGCAGCUUCCUUCCCUGUGUCUCAGUCCUCGUAUUUCCCAGGAGAGGGAAUCUGAUUCACCAACUCCCUCAAUCCAAGUCAUAACGUCCUUUCUGAUCCAGCAGUCUUUCAGCUGCAAGUAAUAAAAACCUGACUAAAAUUGGCUGGAAAAGGAGGAAAUGUAUUAUCUGCCAUAGCAGGAAGUUCAGAGAAAGGGCAGCCCUUAGAGUCGGCUGAUGGGAGACUCAGCAGUGUUUUACCAAGCACCCCGAGUUCUUUGCACCCCCUCACCCCACCAUCCUUGGCAUUGGCUUUAUCCUUAGUAAAAUGGCCACAGCCAUUUCAGGCAUCACAUUGAGAUACAACAACGUUCAGGAAAGGAAGUGGCCGUUUCUUCCUGUGGCCUUUCCUUAGGAGUGAGGACAUUUUUCCUAAAGUCUGCUCCGGAAAUGAGCAGAUUUUCCCUCAUGUCUCACUGACCAGAUUUGCAGUUAGAGAUUUGUUUGGGUUAGUAAACUCCGUUGGUAAGGAAGAGAAGCCACCAGAAAAUAUCAUUUCUACACGCAGCACUAGCGAGCGGAAUGUGGUCAUCCAGAGACGAACUCAGGCCCAUCCCUGGAGCUGGGAUGGGAGUCAUUCUCCUCCGUGGUAGAUGAAGCCUUGUAUGCGGAGGGUGGAAAGGAAUGGUGGUCUGUUUAUGGGACCCAGAAAAGUCCUUCUGUUCAAAUGUAUCUGUCCAUGAAAAUUUUGAAAAUUACUGUGGGAUUUUUACCUGAAGAAAAUUGGAGUUCUAUCAGGAUGAAAGGUUGUUUACUAUAAUUAUCUUUGGGUCAAGUAUACGCCCCUUCCCCAGUUAGCUAUGGCCUGGAGAGGGAGGUAUGGUAUAUAGAAUACAAAUGUAUAUAUAUAAUAUAAAACAAAGUCACUUUCCCUAAAGGGCGUGGCAGACAGGCACCUUGAAUUGUAUCUAGUGUAUACCUCUUGGGAUCCGUUUUCUGAAUUCUUAUAGACACAGUCCUUCCUCAGAGAUUUUCAGUAAUGAAAGCAUUGAUUUCAGUGCUUCUUAUUAUUGUCAUGAAAAAAAAAAAAACAGUGAGUGUUCAGUCACGUAAAAUUUUUGCAAAGUUUGGAAUAUAAUUUAAAGAAAGCUCCUUGUUCGCCGUGAGCAUACCAUGGAAGAGUCUAGUACCAGUAGAAAUAUUCUUGCCAAAGCCUAAACCUAAUACAUUUACGAUCCAAGUUGUGUUACCCAAUAUGAUUUUCAGGAUUAAUUUUUAGUAAGGCGUGUCACACUUUGCAUGGCCUGUAUCUUGCUGAAUUUGUGCAUACUAAUGAAUCUAAAAAUAUUGAGUAUCUACUAUGCGACUCUCACUUUGCUUGAUACAGUAUGCAAGCAAAAGAUUCAAAAUAUAACAUAUGUUCAUUGAAGAACAAGAUUAUUUAUGGAUCAAAAGGAAAACCAAAGUAGGUUAGAAACCCAGAAGGCUCUUGUCAAAUAUAUAUGCCAAUACACAUAUCUGCACUUUGAGUUUUUUUUUUUUAUUAAUAAGCUCUGUUGAUAAGAAAAGAACCCGCAGAAUGUGGAAGAGGGUUGUGGAAAGGAAAAGGGAAGGCCGUCAAAGACAACUGUGUUCUUUUCUUUCUGACUUAGAGCCCUCCUGAUGGCCACUCUGAAAAUGGCCUUAGGCACUUCCACAGGCCAGUAUUUCCUCCAGCAUGUUUCACAAAGGCUAGUCCUUGACCUGCUCCUUGAAAAGGAUUCAUUCUGCAGUCACAAAGAGAGAGGAAAUAGCAAAUCCUUCUCCAAGAGAUUGACGGUGCAUAUUAGUAAUUAAAGAUUCUGAGAAGUUCUCUGGUAAAAUAACACACAUUUCUCUAAUCCUGUAUUUUCCACAUUUUCUGAAUCACCAAGUCUCUCUUGUCACAUAACAUCUAACAUCUUGCAGAGUAUACUGAGGAACUGCCAAAGUCGGGUAGGAGUGAUCCUGAGCAGAGGAGUAACGUUAUGAAAGCACCAUUUAAUAAGAAUAAUCUAGUGAUGUAUAAGAUGAAUUGGAGACAGAAGAGACCAGAGGCUUAAAGUCCUAUUUGGAAGCUGUUGGAAUAAUUGGGGAUGAAGAAAGUGUCACAGGUGGGGUAAUAAUAGUGAAUGUUUACUUAUUCAUUAAUUCAGCAAAUGUUUAUCAAGUCUUAACUGCAUGCCAAGUAUUGGUCUAGAUUCAGGAGAUAAGAAAAAAUUGUUCAAAUCUUUGUCCUCAUGGAGUUUAUUUAUAUCCUGAGAGAAGAAGGAACACAGUAAACAAACAGAUAUGCAAAGUGUCAAGUGACGAAGAGCGCUAAAAAGAAAAAUAAAGCAUGGGCAUUGGUUAGAGGGAGACCUUGCUGAUGAGCAGACGCGAAAGCAAAGAUCUGAAUUAAGCUGGAAAGACAACAGCGCGGACGUCUGGGCAGAGGGACCAGCAAUGCGAACACUUUGAGGUAGGAACCCAGUGUGGCUGGAGCAGAGCGAGGUGGAGGAUGGUAGGAGGAGGGGAAAAGGAGGCAUGGGAAGGGACAGGGAGUGAGUAAGACCAUGGAGGCCUAAGAGGCCUGACAGACCAUCGUACAUACUCUGGGUUUUGUACUGAGUGAGACCGGAAGCCGUCGGAGAGCUCUGAGCAGAGGUGUGGCUUAGUUCUUAAGCGGUCACUCUGACUUCCAUCCGGAGAACAGACUGACGUGGAGCUGCAGUGGAGGCGAGGAGCCUGGUUAGGACUGUUGCCAAGGUCCAGACAAGAGAGGAUGAUGGCUUGCACUCGGGAGGCAGCGCAGGUGGCAGUAAGUGGUCUGCUUAAAGAGAAAUUUUAAAUUCAAGAAUUGACAGGAAUUUCGGUCGAUGACACCAUGUGCCAGGUUCUAAGUGUUUAACUAUUUAAUCUUCAUUAAAAGAACUUGUGAGCUAGGUACAGCUAUUACUUCUGUUUUACAGUUGAGAAGGUCGAGGCACAGAAACGUAGCUUGCUGAAGGUCAUACAGCUGUAAAUGGUGGCACUGGAUCUGGAACCCGGGCAUUGUAACUCCGAAGCCUGUACUCUGAAACUGUUUUUGAAAGACUUUCAGAAUUUCACAGGGGAAAUCAUGUUUUCUGACUUUUUCUAUUUUUGUUUGUUUGUUUUUACCACAGGAAAAGGUUGGGACAGUAUGAACUGGUGCUGAGCAGACUGGAGUGUGAGAGAGAGUGAAAUAAGAUUCCUGGUGUUCUUUGGGGGAUUAAUUCUGACAGUUCUUUGAAACGUUCCCUCUUCACAUGCACCUUCUGUUAGGGAAAUGGGAUAGCAGUCAGGAUAUUGUAAGCUGCCUUUCUUCUCCGGCUCCUGGUGGCCUGACUGCUUUGAGUGAUUCUGAUGCAUAUAAUUGGAAAAGGAGAACUCUUACUCAUCAUCUUACUCUUAUCUUUUCUUUUUUUUUUUCUGUCUUUGGCCUGGGGGAUUCAGAGAACUUUCUAGGAGGGAGGAAGAAGUCUUAGGAAUUUGCACAUUUGAAACUUUUUUUUUUUUUCUGGUUUCUGAUCUGGCAUCUAAGGAGCUUGGAAGUCAUCGCUUCAUCCUAACAAAGAGUAAAAUGCUGAGCAAACUAAAAAAUCAACACAGGGCAAACCACUGCCCCCAAAAUUGGAGGGAUAGACGGGAAAAUGCAGAGAAUCACAUCUUACCAGAGUUGAAUUCCACAAGCCGAGUCCUCGGAAGGAACCAGUACUGGGGUACAAAAACCUAAAUAACAAAUUGCUGGAAGCUCAAUGUGGACAAGUCUGGGUUAAAAACUCCAGGGGGGCCCAGUCAUGGGCAGGGUGGGGGGCUUGACACCGCUGUGAGUUUAAGAACUAUAGAACACUUCCCUUUCCCCCACAUCUCACUACCACACCACUGAAGUUACUUACUGGAGUUCCUUUUACCCAGCACAUCAUGUCUGGCUUUCAAUCAGAAAUUACAAAGCAUAUUAAUUAAGGCAAAAAAACCCCCCACAGUUUGAAGAAACAGAACAAGCAUCAGACCAGACUCAAAUAUGACAGGGGUGUUAGGAUUAUCAAACUGGGGGAUUUUAAACAACUAUGUUUAAUACACUAAAGACUUUAGUGGAAAAAGUGGACAACAUGCAAGAACAGUUGAAUAAUAUAAGUAGAAAGAUGAAAAUUCUGAGAAAGAAUCAAAAAUAAAUGGGAGCAGUCAAAAACACUAACAAAAAGGAAGAAUGCCUUUGAUGGACUCAUUGGUAGACUGGACAUGGCUGACGAAAGACUCUUGGAGCUGAAGGAUUUGUCAGUAGCAACUUCCAAAACCAAUAUGCAAAGAGGAAAAAACAUCAUUUUUAAGUGGAACAGAAUAUCCAGAAACCAUCGGAAAUUUUCAAAAGGUGUAACAUGUGAGUAAUGGGAAAGGUAGAGGAGAAGAGAGAAGGGAAUAGAAGCAAUAUCUGAAGUAGUGAUAACUGAAAAUUUCUCCCCAAAUUAAUGUCAGACACCAAACCACAGAUCCAGGAUGCUCAGAGAACACCGAACAGCAUAAAUGCAUUAAAAAAAAAAAGUCAAAGAUAAAGAAAAAA